rnacentral:pre_miRNA from 1 species
CGAUUACAGGAAACUGGGUGUAAGCUGUACAUAAUCCCCGGCAGCACCUGUUUCCUGCAACCCUCGU